rnacentral:misc_RNA from 1 species
GAUGAAGAACGUAGCGAAAUGCGAUAAGUAAUGUGAAUUGCAGAAUUCCGUGAACCAUCGAAUCUUUGAACGCACAUUGCGCCCGGCAGUAAUCUGCCGGGCAUGCCUGUCCGAGCGUCAUUUCUGCCCUCGAGCGAGUUCCAGCAUCUAGGUGCUGGGGCCCGCCCGGCGUUGGGGCACUACGGGAGAGCACCUGUGCUGCCCGUAGGCCCUGAAAUGAAGUGGCGGUCCUGCCGCGGCGCCCCCUGCGUAGUAUAACAGCUCGCUUCGGGACCCGGUGGAGGCCAGCCGUCAAACCUAUAUUCUCUAAGUUUGACCUCGGAUCAGGUAGGGUUACCCGCUGAACUUAAGCAUAUCAAUAAGCGGAGGA